GUGGGGAAUUUUGGACAAUGGGCGAAAGCCUGAUCCAGCAAUGCCGCGUGUGUGAAGAAGGCCUUCGGGUUGUAAAGCACUUUUGGCAGGGAAGAAACAGUGCGUGCUAAUACCAUGCGCGAAUGACGGUACCUGCAGAAUAAGCACCGGCUAACUACGUGCCAGCAGCCGCGGUAAUACGUAGGGUGCAAGCGUUAAUCGGAAUUACUGGGCGUAAAGCGUGCGCAGGCGGCUUUGUAAGACGGAUGUGAAAGCCCCGGGCUCAACCUGGGAAGUGCAGUCGUGACUGAAAGGCUAGAGUGUGUCAGAGGGAGGUGGAAUGCCGCGUGUAGCAGUGAAAUGCGUAGAGAUGCGGAGGAACACCGAUGGCGAAGGCAGCCUCCUGGGAUAACACUGACGCUCAGGCACGAAAGCGUGGGGAGCAAACAGGAUUAGAAACCCUAGUAGUCC
rnacentral:rRNA from 1 species